GCAGGAUGCUGGUUCCUCGUCUCGCCGCCUGGGGGCAGCGGCGGCGGCGGCGCUCCGCCUUGCUGAGAUGUCACGGGACGACAUCCUGAUCGCGUGCGAACACAAAACGGGAUGACCGCCGCCGACUAAUGACGACGUCGAUGGAGUGGCCCGGCGUCGCGCUGCUGCU